ACCUGGCUGGCUCAGUGGGUAGAGCAUGCGACUCUUGAUCCCAGGGUUGUGAGUUUGAGCCCCACACUGGAUG
rnacentral:tRNA from 1 species